rnacentral:rRNA from 1 species
AUUCUGGUGUACUCGGCGUGGAGGAGUCACACCAAUCCAUCCCGAACUUGGUGGUUAAACUCUACUGCAGUGACGAUACUUUAGGGGGGGCCCUACGGAAAAAAAGCUCGUUGCCAGAAUGAUAAACACCUCUCAAAAAC